GCCCGGCUAGCUCAAUCGGUAGAGCGUGAGACUCUUAUUCACUCACGCCCUCACGGGACUUGAAGAAGGUGGCGGUGACAAUCUCGAGGUUGUGGGUUCGACCCCCACGUCGGGCU